GGAGGUAUAGCUCGGCGGUACAGCAUUCGACUGCAGAUCGAGAGGUCCCCGGUUCGAACCCGGAUGCAAUAUUUUUU